CAGCCGUAAACAAUGUGCGUUAGGUGUGUCGGUAACCACGUGUUACUGAUGCGCCGAAGAGAAAUCGUGAAACGCACCACCUGGGAAGUACGGUCGCAAGGCUGAAACUUAAAGGAAUUGGCGGGGGGAGCACCACAACAGGUGGAGCCUGCGGUUUAAUUGGAUUCAACGCCGGACAUCUCACCGGAUAAGACAGCUGAAUGAUUGUCAAUCUGAAGACCCUGCAUGACUAGCUGAGAGGAGGUGCAUGGGCGUCAGUGACU
rnacentral:rRNA from 1 species